ACGUAGGGGGCAAGCGUUGUCCGGAAUCAUUGGGCGUAAAGCGCGUGUAGGCGGCCAUCCAAGUCUGGUGUGAAAGCUCGGGGCUCAACCCCGAGUCUGCACUGGAAACUGGAUGGCUUGAGUCCGGAAGAGGAGACUGGAAUUCCUGGUGUAGCGGGUAAAUGCGCAGGUAUCGGGAAGAACACCGGUGGCGAAGGCGGGUCUCUGGGACGGUACUGACGCUUAGACGCGAAAGCGUGGGGAUCAAAAAG
rnacentral:rRNA from 1 species